UACGGGGGGGGCAAGCGUUGUUCGGAAUUACUGGGCGUAAAGGGCUCGUAGGUGGCCAACUAAGUCGGACGUGAAAUCCCUCGGCUUAACCGGGGAACUGCGUCCGAUACUGGUUGGCUUGAGUUUGGGAGAGGGAUGCGGAAUUCCAGGUGUAGCGGUGAAAUGCGUAGAUAUCUGGAGGAACACCGGUGGCGAAGGCGACUUCCUGGCCUGUUCUUGACGCUGAGGCGCGAAAGCUAGGGGAGCAAACGGG
rnacentral:rRNA from 1 species